GACGAACGCUGGCGGCGUGCUUAACACAUGCAAGUCGAACGGUAAGGCCCUUCGGGGUACACGAGUGGCGAACGGGUGAGUAACACGUGGGUGAUCUGCCCUGCACUUCGGGAUAAGCCUGGGAAACUGGGUCUAAUACCGGAGAGGACCACUGCCUGCAUGGGUGGUGGUGGCAAGCUUUUGCGGUGUGGGAUGGGCCCGCGGCCUAUCAGCUUGUUGGUGGGGUGAUGGCCUACCAAGGCGACGACGGGUAGCCGGUCUGAGAGGGUGACCGGCCACACUGGGACUGAGAUACGGCCCAGACUCCUACGGGAGGCAGGAGUGGGGAAUAUUGCACAAUGGGCGCAAGCCUGAUGCAGCGACGCCGCGUGAGGGAUGACGGCCUUCGGGUUGUAAACCUCUUUCAGCACCGACGAAGCGCAAGUGACGGUAGGUGCAGAAGAAGGACCGGCCAACUACGUGCCAGCCGCCGCCGUAA
rnacentral:rRNA from 1 species